CGGACGGGUGAGUAAGAGGGAGGAUCUGCCCUCAGGAGGGGGAUAACGGUUGGAAGGGGACGGUAAUACCCCAUAUGCCGAGAGGUGAAAGGAAUUUCGCCUGAGGAUGAGCUCGCGUCUGAUUAGCUAGUUGGUGGGGAAAAGGGCUACCAAGGCGACGAUCAGUAGCUGGUCUGAGAGGAUGAUCAGCCACACUGGGACUGAGACACGGCCCAGACUCCCACGGGAGGCAGCAGUGGGGAAUUUUCCGCAAUGGGCGAAAGCCUGACGGAGCAACGCCGCGUGAGGGAUGAAGGCCUCUGGGCUGUAAACCUCUUUUCUCAAGGAAGAAGACCUGACGGUACUUGAGGAAUAAGCCACGGCUAAUUCCGUGCCAGCAGCCGCGGUAAUACGGGAUUGGUUUGCGUUAUCCGGAAUUAUUGGGCGUAAAGCGUCCGCAGGCGGCCUCGUAAGUCUGUCGUUAAAGCGUGGAGCUUAACUCCAUUUCAGCGAUGGAAACUGCGAGGCUUGAGUGUGGUUGGGGCAGAGGGAAUUCCCGGGUGUAGCGGUGAAAUGCGUAGAUAUCGGGAAGAACACCAGUGGCGAAAGGCGCUCUGCUGGGCCAUAACUGACGCUCAUGGACGAAAGCCAGGGGAGCGAAAGGGAUUAGAUACCCCUGUAGUC
rnacentral:rRNA from 1 species